AAAUUGAAUAUAUAUAUAGGUUAUACGAUCCGCAAUGUGCCACGGUGCUGGUGUUACGAGACAGCAGUUGCAGUUGGGGUUGAACCUGAUAAUAAGCUGCCUUACAAUGAGUAUUAUGAGUAUUUUGGACCAGAUUACACUCUGCAUGUUGAGCCAAGUCCCCUUGACAACCAAAACACUCCAAAAGACUUGGAGAAAAUCAGGUCUUAAUUUGGUGGGCUGGUCUUAUGAGAGGUGCUGUUUCUAUGGCCCUUGCCUAUAACCAGAAAGUCAAAUCACUGAAGAACGACUUGAUAGCAAAUUGGAUAGGCAUCUAUCAAACUUCAUUUACCGUUUUUGAAUUUUAUAUAAUUUAGCGGUUGUAAACUUUUAUGGUUAAUCUUAGAAUUUAAGAUAACUUUUAGUGGUAUGAAGUCCAUUGUUUUGAUAUAUAUGAAAUG